rnacentral:rRNA from 1 species
GGGGGAUAUUGCACAAUGGAGGGAACUCUGAUGCAGCAACGCCGCGUGAGGGAAGACGGUCUUCGGAUUGUAAACCUUUGUCCCUGGUGACGAUAAUGACGGUAGCCAGGGAGGAAGCUCCGGCUAACUACGUGCCAGCAGCCGCGGUAAUACGUAGGGAGCGAGCGUCGUCCGGAUUUACUGGGUGUAAAGGGUGCGUAGGCGGCUGAGCAAGUCAGGUGUGAAAACCAUCGGCUUAACUGAUGGACUGCAUUUGAAACUGCUUUGCUUGAGUGGAGCAGAGGCAGGCGGAAUUCCCGGUGUAGCGGUGAAAUGCGUAGAGAUCGGGAGGAACACCAGUGGCGAAGGCGGCCUGCUGGGCUUUAACUGACGCUGAGGCACGAAAGCAUGGGUAGCAAAC